AUGAUUUUAACAUUUUAACUAGCAAGUAUUCUUCAGGUGCAUUUGUUGUUUGAUGUCAUGAGAUUUCUACUAUUGCGCGUGCACGUGCCAUUCAUAAGUUCCACCGGCACCUCAAUAUAACAACCACAACACAUUGGUCUUAAGUAGUUGGAUAUAAUUCAACCUUUAGUUAAGCAAGUUUGUAGAAAAUGUCACUUUGGGGAAAUACAUUGGUUGCAAGACCUAACAGUCUAACAAAACAUCUUAAAUUUGG